rnacentral:rRNA from 1 species
GACGAACGCUGGCGGUGUGCUUAACACAUGCAAGUCGAACGGUAAGGCCCUUUCGGGGGUACACGAGUGGCGAACGGGUGAGUAACACGUGAGUAACCUGCCCUCAUCUCUGGGAUAACAGUCGGAAACGGUUGCUAAUACUGGAUAUGAGCUUGCAAGGCAUCUUGUGGGUUGGAAAGAUUUUUUUGGUUGGGGAUGGACUCGCGGCCUAUCAGCUUGUUGGUGAGGUAGUGGCUCACCAAGGCUUCGACGGGUAGCCGGCCUGAGAGGGCGACCGGCCACAUUGGGACUGAGAUACGGCCCAAACUCCUACGGGAGGCAGCAGGGGGGAAGAUUGCACAAUGGACGGAAGUCUGAUGCAGCAACGCCGCGUGCGGGAGGACGGCCUUCGGGUUGUAAACCGCUUUCAAUUGUGACGAAGCUUUUUGUGACGGUAGCAGUAGAAGAAGCACCGGCUAACUACGUG